rnacentral:rRNA from 1 species
GACGAACGCUGGCGGCGUGCUUAACACAUGCAAGUCGAACGGAAAGGCCCUGCUUUUGUGGGGUGCUCGAGUGGCGAACGGGUGAGUAACACGUGAGUAACCUGCCCUUGAUUUUGGGAUAACUUCAGGCAACUGGGGCUAAUACCGGAUAGGAGCUCUUGCUGCAUGGUGGGGGUUGGAAAGUUUCGGCGGUUGGGGAUGGACUCGCGGCUUAUCAGCUUGUUGGUGGGGUAGUGGCUUACCAAGGCUUUGAGGGGUAGCCGGCCUGGGAGGGUAACCGGCCACAUUGGGACGGAGCUACGGCCCAGACUCCUACGGGAGGCAGCAGUGGGGAAUAUUGCACAAUGGGCGGAAGCCUGAUGCAGUAACGCCGCGUGCGGGAUGACGGCCUUCGGGUUGUAAACCGCUUUCGCCUGUGACGAGGCGUGAGUGACGGUAAUGGGUAAAGAAGCACCGGCUAACUACGUG